rnacentral:rRNA from 1 species
CCUACGGGCGGCUGCAGUCGAGAAUCAUUCACAAUGGGGGAAACCCUGAUGGUGCGACGCCGCGUGGGGGAAUGAAGGUCUUCGGAUUGUAAACCCCUGUCAUGUGGGAGCAAAUUAAAACGCUUGUACCACAUUAGGAAGAGCCGGCUAACUCUGUUCCAGCAGCCGCGGUAAUACAGCGGUCUCAAGCGUUGUUCGGCAUCACUGGGCGUAAGGGGUGCGUAGGCUGUUUUGUAAGUCGUGUGUGAAAGGCGCGGGCUCAACCCGCGGACGGCACAUGAUACUGCGAGACUAGAGUAAGGGAGAGGGAAGCGGAAUGCUCGGUGUAGCAGUGAAAUGCGUAGAUAUCGAGAGGAACACUCGUGGCGAAGGCGGGUUACUGGACAGUAACUGACGCUGAGGCACGAAGGCCAGGGGAGCGAAAGGGAUUAGAUACCCCUGUAGUC